rnacentral:sRNA from 1 species
UAGCGUAGAAAUAACUCGAAAUUGACGAAAAGCUUGGAGCUUUCUCUCUCCUCCUUUCUCUCUCUAGAAAAUUAAAUAAACCUCGAGACUACGAACAGCUUUUGUGAUUAUUUGCUUUUCAUUUCGCUGCCUCCCGCCCUCUCCCGCCUAUCCCUCAAUCGCUUAUUAGCUUCGCCUCCUCUGAAACCCUAAUUCCCUUCUUCUCUCCCAAAUCCAAAAUCCAUAUCCAAAUUGCUCCGACUCCGACCCGUUUUAACGUCUCUGAAGUUUCAACACUCGAAUAGUACAUAUAUAUUUCUGGUGCGAUUGCUAAGCUUUUUCAGUUUCUCUCUUAUCAGAUGGUCGUACCCAGUGCACAAGGCUCCCGCUUUACGCAAGGUCUGGGAGAGUUAUGAUUUUAACUUUCUCGGAUUUGCAUUGGAUUAAGUCUCAUUGAAAUUGAAUAGCUGUAAAAAAGGAAAAUGGAGAUGAAGUUGUUCCUUUUCCCUUUGUUCUGUUGUGUAAUAUAUUUUCAAAAUCUAAUUUUACUUCUUACUUUUUACCUU